GACUCUGAUCUAGCCAUGCCGCGUGCAGUGAUGAAUGCCCUAUGGAUGGAAAGCUCCCCUUUUCAGAGAAGAAAAUGACGUACCUGUAAAAGA
rnacentral:rRNA from 1 species